rnacentral:rRNA from 1 species
GACGAACGCUGGCGGCGUGCUUAACACAUGCAAGUCGAACGGAAAGGCCCUGCUUUUGUGGGGUGCUCGAGUGGCGAACGGGUGAGUAACACGUGAGUAACCUGCCCUUGACUUUGGGAUAACUUCAGGAAACUGGGGCUAAUACCGGAUAGGAGCUCCUGCUGCAUGGUGGGGGUUGGAAAGUUUCGGCGGUUGGGGAUGGACUCGCGGCUUAUCAGCUUGUUGGUGGGGUAGUGGCUUACCAAGGCUUUGACGGGUAGCCGGCCUGAGAGGGUGACCGGCCACAUUGGGACUGAUAUACGGCCCAGACUCCUACGGGAGGCAGCAGUGGGGAAUAUUGCACAAUGGGCGGAAGCCUGAUGCAGCAACGCCGCGUGCGAGAUGACGGCCUUCGGGUUGUAAACCGCUUUCGCCUGUGACGAAGCGUGAGUGACGGUAAUGGGUAAAGAAGCACCGGCUAACUACGUG